UCCGGUGUGGUCUAGCGGUUAGGAUUCCUGGUUUUCACCUAGGCGGCCCGGGUUCGAUUUCCGGCACCGGAA
rnacentral:tRNA from 1 species